rnacentral:rRNA from 1 species
UACGUAGGGUCCGAGCGUUGUCCGGAAUUAUUGGGCGUAAAGAGCUCGUAGGCGGUUUGUCGCGUCUGCUGUGAAAUCCCGAGGCUCAACCUCGGGCCUGCAGUGGGUACGGGCAGACUAGAGGUAUGCAGGGGAGAACGGAAUUCCUAGUGUAGCGGUGAAAUGCGCAGAUAUCAGGAGGAACACCGGUGGCGAAGGCGGUUCUCUGGGCAUGAUCUGACGCUGAGGAGCGAAAGUGUGGGGAGCGAACAGG